rnacentral:rRNA from 1 species
CCGGCGCACGGGUGAGUAACACGUAUCCAACCUGCCGUCUACUCUUGGCCAGCCUUCUGAAAGGAAGAUUAAUCCAGGAUGGGAUCAUGAGUUCACAUGUCCGCAUGAUUAAAGGUAUUUUCCGGUAGACGAUGGGGAUGCGUUCCAUUAGAUAGUAGGCGGGGUAACGGCCCACCUAGUCAACGAUGGAUAGGGGUUCUGAGAGGAGGGUCCCCCACAUUGGAACUGAGACACGGUCCAA